UGGCAACUAUGAUGAAAGGUUUGGUCUGUAUGUAAUAUAUUUUAUUACUAAAUGAAGACAACAGUCCCUCUAAGCUGAUGUUGCCA
ensembl:snoRNA SNORD127 small nucleolar RNA, C/D box 127